ensembl:lncRNA
GUCAGUGGGCAGACACGUGGACUCCUGCUUGGAUGUGGAUUUCCAGGGACCACUCGGCGUUCUUGGUACCAGGAAUCGGAACCACCAGUCUGGCUGUCACAGCCAAGUUUGGCCAGCCUGGCUUUAGCUCUGAGAUUGAUACUAUGUCAGAAGCUGAAUAUAUGGAUGUCUUUGUGACUCUCAGAUGUCAGAUGACAAAGUGCCACGCGAGCUUUGAUUUUCAUACCAACCCAGGGAGUCCCAGCUUCGGCCAGGGUCCCUCCUCUCCCCCUUGGCACUCCGUCUGUGGUCCUUUCUUACAGCAGCCCUGAGAAACGCAUGUCUUCUCCUUUCCAGUGCUUCCAUGCCUUGUCCUGAGAUUCGCUCCGUCUGGUUUGACCUGGACUGUGUCUACUUCUGUGGCCACGGGGGUGGAUGGGGGCAGCUCUGGCUCACAGGCCCACUCACAGAGCUGGACGGAACCCGUGCUAGACUACGCGCAUGUGCCAAGAGUGGGCAAAAGAUUUCCUCAUUCUCAGCUAGCAUCACUGCCAGUCUUGCCAGCAUAUCUAGAGGCCUAAUCCAGACUCUCAUGGAGGCUAAGCCCGUGACCUUCUCUGCCAGAAUGGUGAUCCCUCUUCUUGCCUGUUGGACCCUUGACAUAAGAAGCUCAAAGUUCCUGCAUGGAAGCCAAGACUUAAUGUUCCAGAAACUCUUGCUGUGCCUUCUGGUAGAGCUGUGUGUCAAACACUAUACAGGACUCCACUUGGUGUUCUUGGCUAAGGCUGUGGGUAGGAAGGGCAAAUCCAUAACUGGAUUAUCUGUUCAUUCCAGUGAAAGUAGACUGUUACCCAGGGCAGAUGCGCAAAGGGGCUGCUUUUUAUUGCUCCAUGUAAGACAGACUUUGGCUUCAAGCUGCCCUCAGAAAAGGAGUAUAACCUUGGGUGAGAUGGCUUCUAGACAUGAACUGGUAAAAGUUUAACGAUUAACAACCUGAAAAGAAGUUCUGAUUUUUAGUGUUUUCUGAUUUUCAUGAUGUCGAUAAGGGGUUGGAAAACUACAGCAUGCUGGCCCACCAGCUGGUUUUAUAAAUAACAUUCUAUUGGAAGACAGACACAUCCAUUUGUUUAAAAAAAAUAUAUAUUGGUAUGGUUGUUUUUUUGUAACAAUGGCCCACCAGGCUCCUCUGUCCAUGGGACUUCCAGGCCAGAAUACUGGAGUGGUUUUCCAUUUCCUUCUCCAGGGGAUCUUCCCAACCCAGGAAUCAAAACUGGGUCUCCUGCAUUGCAAGCAGAUCCUUCACUGUCUGAACUACCAGCAAAGCCCAUUGUGCUAAUUGUCAACAUCAUUUAAAAUGGGACUUCCUGAUCAGGUCUGUUAUAAAGACAGUUCAUGGUCUACUGAAAAUGAUGGUAUUUAAGAGGUCAAUAAAUCACAUCUACCUCCGACCA